AGAGGGGAAUAACAUUCUGAAAAGAAUGCUAAUACCGCAUGAGAUCGUAGUAUCGCAUGGUACAGCGACCAAAGGAGCAAUCCGCUGAAAGAUGGACUCGCGUCCGAUUAGCUAGUUGGUGAGAUAAAGGCCCACCAAGGCGACGAUCGGUAGCCGGACUGAGAGGUUGAACGGCCACAUUGGGACUGAGACACGGCCCAGACUCCUACGGGAGGCAGCAGUGGGGGAUAUUGCACAAUGGGGGAAACCCUGAUGCAGCAACGCCGCGUGAAGGAAGAAGGUCUUCGGAUUGUAAACUUCUGUCCUCAGGGAAGAUAAUGACGGUACCUGAGGAGGAAGCUCCGGCUAACUACGUGCCAGCAGCCGCGGUAAUACGUAGGGAGCAAGCGUUGUCCGGAUUUACUGGGUGUAAAGGGUGCGUAGGCGGAUCUGCAAGUCAGUAGUGAAAUCCCAGGGCUUAACCCUGGAACUGCUAUUGAAACUGUGGGUCUUGAGUGAGGUAGAGGCAGGCGGAAUUCCCGGUGUAGCGGUGAAAUGCGUAGAGAUCGGGAGGAACACCAGUGGCGAAGGCGGCCUGCUGGGCCUUAACUGACGCUGAGGCAC
rnacentral:rRNA from 1 species